UUAAGUUCAGCGGGUAGUCCUACCUGAUUUGAGGUCAAAUUUGAUAUAAGAGUUCGUCCGAAGACCAUUGUAAGCGGACUUUGAAGUCGAAUGACGGCGCAACUUUAUUAUCACACCGACGUCCGGAAACCAAAGGUUAGAUUCCGCUGAUGCAUUUGAGAGGAGCCGACUAGACGCCAGCACGCUCCAAGUCCAAGCUC
rnacentral:misc_RNA from 1 species